rnacentral:lncRNA from 10 species
UGAAAUACAAUUUUUAAUAUUUUUGUGGAUGAAGAGGUCCAAGAAAGCCAUAAUACAGCCCUUCUUGGCUGCAGUCUGUACAAAGUUUGGUUCAGUGAGGGGUUUAAUGGUGUAGGAGAAAAACUUCCAAGCAGAUAAGGUUGAAUAAAGUGGCACCACAACUCAUAACCACUGCCCCUCUGGGUUCAUAAAACCACCUUCCUUAUUUGUUUUGUUGAUCUUCUUUGUUUUGUUGAUCUGCUCCUGGUACUUGUUCCUGAAAAUUGCCUUUAGCAUGUAGACACUGAUUUUCUGGCCUCUAUGUAGUUCCGGUUCUCAGGCUUCUUUCUUAAAGCCAACCCUGACCUUUGUCUUGACAUUACUGCCCUGGUUACCGCAGUAAUAUGCUGAACACAUAAUACCAAGAAUAAUGAGUAUUUGUGUUUGCUUUUUUUUUUUUAAACAGAACCUAAAAUGUUCUGAACUUGCACUUAUAAUUUUAUUAACUACUCAACAAAUGAUAUUUAUUAUUACCAAAGAAUACUAAAUUACAUUUUUAUCAUAUGCUUUAUGAUUUGUACUAACUAUUAUACAUUAAUACAGUUAGGAAUAUAUACUGCUACAAACAGGCAUAAUGGAGAUUUUUUUUGAGAAGUUUUGUAUUUUAUUAUGUGUUCUUCCAUUUAAUUUGAAUUACAUUGCUUUCAUAUUACAGCUUAUCUGGUCUUUCUGUUUCAUGAUAUACAUAGAAUAUCAGUUCUAAAUUACUAAAAUAUUUAAGGAAAACAUUUAGUUCAGACACCGUACCUCACUGUGGUCACAGAACUUUAGUCAUUGACUGAGGUCUUGAAAGUCACCAUCUUCUUGUUUUUUUCUUGCAGAAGAAAUGUCAAGUUAUACUUCUUUACUCUGCAGGUUUCAGAGAAUAUUUGUUUUCAGAUAAGUAGCUUGGAGUUUACCCUUCAGAUAUUCAAAUAAACACAGCACCAUUUUCAACCUUUCAACUUUCUUCUCAAAAACUUUCAGGAGCUCAGCAGCAGAAAGUCACCAGUUUUUGGAGAAAGAACUUGAAUAUUUUAAAUAUUCUUAAAGUUUUGAAAUCACCAAGGCCACUGUGUAGAAAGGAUUACUGAUUCUUUCUCUAGAAAAUUGCAAUUUGCAGUCAAUUCCAAUGGGGCAAUGAGUGAGGGUAGCGAAGAAAGAAAAAAAAAAUGUUAUGACUUUAUCUCAAUGAACUAUUAGGAAAGUGUUCGAGACAUACCACUAGCUAAAAAAAUGAUUUUAAGAAAAACAGACAACUUGUCUUCACCAAAAAUUUCUUCCAUGCAAUAAGAUUACAGGAAGAGAAAGAGGAAGAACUUUUUAGAUUUCCUUUCUACUGGAAAAC